rnacentral:rRNA from 1 species
UACGAAGGGGGCUAGCGUUGUUCGGAAUUACUGGGCGUAAAGCGAGUGUAGGUGGUUGUCCAAGUUGGAUGUGAAAGCCUUGAGCUCAACUCAAGAAACUGCAUUAGGACUGGGCGGCUAGAGGACCGGGAGGAGGAGUAGUGGAAUUCCCAGUGUAGUGGUGAAAUACGUAGAGAUUGGGAAGAACACCAGUGGCGAAGGCGGCUACUGGACGGUU